rnacentral:rRNA from 1 species
AGUGAACGCUGGCGGUAGGCCUAACACAUGCAAGUCGAACGGCAGCACAGUAAGAGCUUGCUCUUACGGGUGGCGAGUGGCGGACGGGUGAGGAAUACAUCGGAAUCUACUUUUUCGUGGGGGAUAACGUAGGGAAACUUACGCUAAUACCGCAUACGACCUACGGGUGAAAGCAGGGGAUCUUCGGACCUUGCGCGAUUGAAUGAGCCGAUGUCGGAUUAGCUAGUUGGCGGGGUAAAGGCCCACCAAGGCGACGAUCCGUAGCUGGUCUGAGAGGAUGAUCAGCCACACUGGAGCUGAGACACGGUCCAGACUCCUACGGGAGGCAGCAGUGGGGAAUAUUGGACAAUGGGCGCAAGCCUGAUCCAGCCAUACCGCGUGGGUGAAGAGGGCCUUCGGGUUGUAAAGCCCUUUUGUUGGGAAAGAAAAGCAGCAGGUUAAUACCCCGCUGUUCUGACGGUACCCAAAGAAUAAGCACCGGCUAACUUCGUG